rnacentral:rRNA from 1 species
AGAGUUUGAUCCUGGCUCAGGAUGAACGUUGGCGGCGUGCCUAAUACAUGCAAGUCGAACGGGAAGGGGUCCUUCGGGGUUCUGGAGAGUGGCGCACGGGUGAGUAACACGUAACUGAUCUGCCCUGUAGACUGGGAUAACCUUUGGAAACAGAGGCUAAUACCGGAUGAGUUCGCGUUAGUUAGAGAUGCGCGAGGGAAUGUUUAGGCGCUACGGGAUGAGGUUGCGGGCCAUCAGCUGGUCGGGGGGGUAAAGGCUCACCGAGGCGAUGACGGCUAGGGGAUCUGAGAGGGUGGCCCCCCACACUGGGACUGAGACACGGCCCAGACUCCUACGGGGAGGCAGCAGUAAGGGAUAUUGCGCAGUGGACGGGAAGUCUGACGCAGCGACGCCGGCGUGGGUGAAGAAGGUGUGCGGAUCGUAAAGCCCCUUUUGCCAGGUGACGAGAGAGGGACGGGAGCCUGGGGAUAGGUGUC